rnacentral:rRNA from 1 species
UAGCUACAGGCUUAACACAUGCAAGUCGAGGGGCAGCAUGGUCUUAGCUUGCUAAGGCCGAUGGCGACCGGCGCACGGGUGAGUAACGCGUAUCCAACCUGCCUUACACUCUUGGACAGCCUUCUGAAAGGGAGAUUAAUACAAGAUGUUAUCAUGAGUAAGCAUUUUCACAUGAUUAAAGGUUUACCGGUGUAAGAUGGGGAUGCGUUCCAUUAGAUAGUAGGCGGGGUAACGGCCCACCUAGUCUUCGAUGGAUAGGGGUUCUGAGAGGAAGGUCCCCCACAUUGGAACUGAGACACGGUCCAAACUCCUACGGGAGGCAGCAGUGAGGAAUAUUGGUCAAUGGACGAGAGUCUGAACCAGCCAAGUAGCGUGAAGGAUGAAGGUUCUAUGGAUUGUAAACUUCUUUUAUACGGGAAUAAACGGAUCCACGUGUGGAUUUUUGCAUGUACCGUAUGAAUAAGGAUCGGCUAACUCCGUGCCAGCAGCCGCGGUAAUACGGAGGAUCCGAGCGUUAUCCGGAUUUAUUGGGUUUAAAGGGAGCGUAGAUGGGUUGUUAAGUCAGUUGUGAAAGUUUGCGGCUCAACCGUAAAAUUGCAAUUGAUACUGGCAGUCUUGAGUACAGUUGAGGUAGGCGGAAUUCGUGGUGUAGCGGUGAAAUGCUUAGAUAUCACGAAGAACUCCGAUUGCGAAGGCAGCUUACUAACCUGUAACUGACAUUGAUGCUCGAAAGUGUGGGUAUCAAACAGGAUUAGAUACCCUGGUAGUCCACACGGUAAACGAUGAAUACUCGCUGUAGGCGAUAUACAGUCUGCGGCCAAGCGAAAGCAUUAAGUAUUCCACCUGGGGAGUACGCCGGCAACGGUGAAACUCAAAGGAAUUGACGGGGGCCCGCACAAGCGGAGGAACAUGUGGUUUAAUUCGAUGAUACGCGAGGAACCUUACCCGGGCUUAAAUUGCAACCGAAUAUGGCGGAAACGCUAUAGCUAGCAAUAGCGGUUGUGAAGGUGCUGCAUGGUUGUCGUCAGCUCGUGCCGUGAGGUGUCGGCUUAAGUGCCAUAACGAGCGCAACCCUUGCCGAUAGUUACUAACAGGUCAUGCUGAGGACUCUGUCGGGACUGCCAUCGUAAGAUGUGAGGAAGGUGGGGAUGACGUCAAAUCAGCACGGCCCUUACGUCCGGGGCUACACACGUGUUACAAUGGGGGGUACAGAGGGCUGCUACCACGCAAGUGGAUGCCAAUCCCAAAAACCUCUCUCAGUUCGGAUUGAAGUCUGCAACCCGACCUCAUGAAGCUGGAUUCGCUAGUAAUCGCGCAUCAGCCACGGCGCGGUGAAUACGUUCCCGGGCCUUGUACACACCGCCCGUCAAGCCAUGGGAGCCGGGGGUACCUGAAGUGCGUAACCGCAAGGAGCGCCCUAGGGUAAAACUGGUG